UACGAAGGUCCCGAGCGUUAUCCGGAUUUAUUGGGUUUAAAGGGUGCGUAGGCGGGUUAUUAAGUCAGUGGUGAAAGCCUUCAGCUUAACUGAAGAAUUGCCAUUGAUACUGAUGAUCUUGAGUGUGAUUGAGGUGGGCGGAAUGUGUCAUGUAGCGGUGAAAUGCUUAGAUAUGACACAGAACACCGAUUGCGAAGGCAGCUCACUAAGUCACAACUGACGCUGAUGCACGAAAGCGUGGGGAGCAAACAGG
rnacentral:rRNA from 1 species